rnacentral:rRNA from 1 species
CUACGGGUGGCAGCAGUAGGGAAUCUUAGACAAUGGGGGAAAUCCUGAUCUAGCCAUGCCGCGUGAGUGAUGAAGGCCUUAGGGUUGUAAAGCUCUUUCGCUGGGGAAGAUAAUGACGGUACCCAGUAAAGAAACCCCGGCUAACUCCGUGCCAGCAGCCGCGGUAAUACGGAGGGGGUUAGCGUUGUUCGGAAUUACUGGGCGUAAAGCGCGCGUAGGCGGGCUAUUAAGUCAGGGGUGAAAUCCCGGGGCUCAACCCCGGAACUGCCUUUGAUACUGGUAGUCUUGAGUUCGAGAGAGGUGAGUGGAAUUCCGAGUGUAGAGGUGAAAUUCGUAGAUAUUCGGAGGAACAUCAGUGGCGAAGGCGACUCACUGGCUCGAUACUGACGCUGAGGUGCGAAAGUGUGGGGAGCAAACAGGAUUAGAUACCCUCGUAGUC